GACGAACGCUGGCGGCGUGCCUAAUACAUGCAAGUCGAACGCAUUUUCUUUCACCGUAGCUUGCUACACCGAAAGAAAAUGAGUGGCGAACGGGUGAGUAACACGUGGGUAAACUGCCCAUCAGCGGGGGAUAACACUUGGAAACAGGUGCUAAUACCGCAUAAUUCCAUUUACCGCAUGGUAAAUGGAUGAAAGGCGCUUUUGCGUCACUGAUGGAUGGACCCGCGGUGCAUUAGCUAGUUGGUGGGGUAACGGCCUACCAAGGCUGCGAUGCAUAGCCGACCUGAGAGGGUGAUCGGCCACACUGGGACUGAGACACGGCCCAGACUCCUACGGGAGGCAGCAGUAGGGAAUCUUCGGCAAUAGACGCAAGUCUGACCGAGCAACGCCGCGUGAGUGAAGAAGGUUUUCGGAUUGUAAAACUCUGUUGUUAGAGAAGAACAAGGAUGAGAGUGGAAAGUUCAUCCCUUGACGGUAUCUAACCAGAAAGCCACGGCUAACUACGUG
rnacentral:rRNA from 1 species